rnacentral:rRNA from 1 species
GAUGAACGCUGGCGGCGUGCCUAAUACAUGCAAGUCGAGCGAACAGACGAGGAGCUUGCUCCUCUGACGUUAGCGGCGGACGGGUGAGUAACACGUGGAUAACCUACCUAUAAGACUGGGAUAACUUCGGGAAACCGGAGCUAAUACCGGAUAAUAUAUUGAACCGCAUGGUUCAAUAGUGAAAGACGGUUUUGCUGUCACUUAUAGAUGGUUCCGCGCCGCAUUAGCUAGUUGGUAAGGUAACGGCUUACCAAGGCAACGAUGCGUAGCCGACCUGAGAGGGUGAGCGGCCACACUGGAACUGAGACACGGUCCAGACUCCUACGGGAGGCAGCAGUAGGGAAUCUUCCGCAAUGGGCGAAAGCCUGACGGAGCAACGCCGCGUGAGUGAUGAAGGUCUUCGGAUCGUAAAACUCUGUUAUUAGGGAAGAACAAAUGUGUAAGUAACUAUGCACGUCUUGACGGUACCUAAUCAGAAAGCCACGGCUAACUACGUG